GAAACUGCGAAUGGCUCAUUAAAACAGUUAUAGUUUAUUUGAUAGUGCAAAUUACAUGGAUAACCGUGGUAAUUCUAGAGCUAAUACAUGCGCAAAUACCGGACGCAAGAAUGGUAGCAUUUAUUAGAUUUAACCAUCACAUGGUGAAUCAUAGUAACUUAGCUGACCGCGUGUAUACGUGGUAAAUCAUUCAAGUUUCUGCCCUAUCAGCUUUCGAUGGUAGUGUAUUGGACUACCAUGGCAGUCACGGGUAACGGAGAAUUAGGGUUCGAUUCCGGAGAGGGAGCCUGAGAAACGGCUACCACAUCUAAGGAAGGCAGCAGGCGCGUAAAUUACCCAAUCCCGAUUCGGGGAGGUAGUGACAAGAAAUAGCAACUCGUGCGGGUUUCCGUUACGGGAUUGCAAUGAGAUAAGUCCAAAUCCGUAAACGAUUAACAAUUGGAGGGCAAGUCUGGUGCCAGCAGCCGCGGUAAUUCCAGCUCCAAUAGCGUAUACUUAAGUUGUUGCAGUUAAAAAGCUCGUAGUUGAAAUUCGAGUCAGUUACUAGUUGGCUUUUCGUCAGUUAGUUAAUUGAUUCUCCGUCUACAAUCCCUUUUGCGCUUUAGGGUUGCAGCUGGGCGAGUAGACAAUUUACCUUGAAAAAAUUAGAGUGUUCCAGGCAGGUCUUCGCCGGAAUACAUUAGCAUGGAAUAAUGGAAUAGGACUUGGGUCUUUUGUUGGUUUUAGGACUUGAGUAAUGAUUAAUAGGGACAGAUGGGGGCAUUAGUAUUUAAUUGUCAGAGGUGAAAUUCUUGGAUUUAUUAAAGACUAACUUAUGCGAAAGCAUUUGCCAAGGAUGUUUUCAUUAAUCAAGAACGAAAGUUAGGGGAUCAAAGACGAUCAGAUACCGUCGUAGUCUUAACUAUAAACUAUACCGACUCGAGAUCGGAAGGGUAAUAUAUUAGUCCCUUUCGGCAUCGUAAGAGAAAUCAAAGUCUUUGGGUUCUGGGGGGAGUAUGGUCGCAAGGCUGAAACUUAAAGGAAUUGACGGAAGGGCACCACCAGGAGUGGAGCCUGCGGCUUAAUUUGACUCAACACGGGGAAACUUACCAGGUCAAAACAUGGAUGGGAUUGACAGAUUGAAAGCUCUUUCUUGAUUCUAUGGGUGGUGGUGCAUGGCCGUUCUUAGUUGGUGGAGUGAUUUGUCUGGUUAAUUCCGAUAACGAACGAGACCUUAACCUGCUAACUAGUUUGCUUCUGAAUAAGAGGUAUAACUUCUUAGAGGGACUAUGUAUGUAAGUGCAUGGAAGUUUAAGGCAAUAACAGGUCUGUGAUGCCCCUAGACGUCCUGGGCCGCACGCGCGCUACACUGACACGUUCAGCGAGCUCAUUUACCUGUCCCGAAAGGGCACGGGAAAUCUUGUUAGGACGUGUCGUGCUGGGGAUAGAUCUUUGCAAUUAUAGAUCUUGAACGAGGAAUUCCUUGUAAGCACAGGUCAUCAGCCUGUGCUGAAUACGUCCCUGCCCUUUGUACACACCGCCCGUCGCUCCUACCGAUUUCGAGUGAUGUGGUGAACUAUCUGGACUGCGGAUGGGCUCGAACCAUUUGCGGGAAGUUUCGUAAACCUUAUCACUUAGAGGAAGGAGAAGUCGUAACAAGGUUUCCGUAGGUGAACCUGCGGAAGGAUCA
rnacentral:rRNA from 1 species